CACGGCCCAGUGCGGCGGCGGGUGCUCCGACGGCCCCAGGUAGAGCAGCUCCAGCAGGUCCCCCGGCUUGCAGAGGGCUGGCAGGGCUGACACCGAGUAGACGCUGAGGUCCCCAGCCUGGGGGCCGCUGCUGACCUUGGAGAAGAUGCAUUCCUGACCGCGGAAAGCGGAGAACUGAGUCUCGUUCAGCACUAGCUGAUGGUGGAGGUGGUGGGUGGGCGUCUCCUGCCCAGGGCUGCCGGAGCCCUUCACGCCGUACUUAUCUGGCUGGCCUCGCUCGUCCAGGUCCUCCUCCUCAUCCGAAAAGAAGUAAGCCACCCCGACGCGCAGCUCGUCCUUCUCGAUCCCCGAGGGGUCCCCGGUCGGCAGUUCGCUGUAAUUCAGAGGAGUAGUGAGACUAUUGGAAAAACAAAACAAACAAACCACUGAACACCUGACCUACAGUGCAUGACCCAAAGCCUUAUGAUGCAAGCAAACCUUUAGGUCCCAAGGCUGUCUCUCAACCAGUCUGCAUGCUGAAGCCCUGCUUUCUGGGAAUUGGCUGAACAUCCCUCACUGAUUGGAGACCUGAAGACCUCUUUUGAUUCUUCCCAGAAGACAUAAAGCACCAGACUUAACUUCAAUAAACAAAAUAUUAUUAAACUCUUGUUUGCCAUUGGAUUCUGACAAAAAGCAUCUGAAAUGAAGAAUACUUGUGUUUUCAAUGCAUACAAUUCAAUAAAACAGAAGAAAUAAGACACACUACCCAAGAAAAUACUAGAAAUGACAGAAGCAGAAGCUUUAUAAGGUGCCACUUGGAGCUGUAAUCAAGCCAUGCCUAAUAACUCCAAGAAAGAGGUGGAACCUGCUUGCCAUGGUGCCUGGAAGCUGUGCACUGCCAGUCAUCUCUCCUAAUUUAAUGCUAGAGUCAUCCAACUUUCAGGCAUGGAAGGGACACAUCAGCAAUACAUUUUCAUUAGGGGACAACAGAAAUUUAGAUCUCUAGGUAUUUUUACCUGGUUACAGUUGAACAAAAAAAAAAAAAUCUGAUUGACAUUUGCAUUGCAUGUUAUCUCAGUGUAUUAAAAAGGGCAAAAACUCUCUCCUCCCAAAUAGGGAGCCUAAGCAAUACAGCUUUUAUAAAGAUAAAGCCAUGAAACAAUUAUAUCAUUCUACUAACAGGUUCCUUUUGUUUUUAAUGAAAGCCUAUUUUAAUAGAGAAAUUUAAGUGAUGAAAUAUCUUCAAUUCCCCAUGAAAAAACUGCUAAAAUUUUGAAAUUAUUCAAUUUGCACAGAAUUUUCCUUAAAUUUUUACAUAAUUCCUAAGAAGUUUUGACCGUUUUUAGCUCAGAGAUUGCCUUCCCCUGUAAGCAAAUACCUGUGAAACUCAUUAAGUGAGUGUGCAUCUGUCACAUCUGUCUAGCAUGCUAAUUUUCAUAAUAGAUGACAACUCACAGGUACCUCUAGUUGUUUUGUAUUAAUUUACAUGAUACACAAGGGGUCUAAAUUUCCACCUUUGAAAUUCUGCAUAAAAAGCCAGAAGAGACUUAUAGUUAAAUCAGUUACUUGGUGACCCAGGCAGCAGAGAACUUGCAUGGGAAUACAAUUCCCUGAUUGUACUAAGUCAGUGGAACUUAGAGAACAGUACCAACUACACAUUUCUCAUUUUUUAGCCAUCUAACUUGGGUCUGAUUUAUCAAAGUGCAAAUGCAGACCACAGAAAUUGUGCUUUGAAUGUAUAAAAUGCAAUAUAAACACUCUUCAAAAUGAGAUCCUACAUUUUUUAUACUGGACACUUAGAAUUUCUAGAAGCCAUUGUAUAUAACCAAUCAAAGGGCAACAAACCUUAUUUAAUACAAUGGGCAUAGUACUCUGUUUAUUUAACAAGACCUUAUGGAAAUAAAAUAUGUGAAAAAGACAAAAUUGUGUGCAAAUGGGGGAAAUGGCACAAGAUGUAUAACACUGUUUUAUGAAAAGCACUUGAAUGUAAGUCCCCAUAUCACAAAAUGAGAAGAUGUUUUAAUAUUGAUUCUAUUCACUCACAUUGGAAAAAAAGUCGUUCACAACAAUGCAAUAAAUAUUAUAAUAUAGCAGGAUUAAUAACUUAAUUUUCACUUUUCCAUAAAAAAAAUUCAAUGUUUAGUUAAAGCUCUAUCAUGAUUAUAUUUUUCCUUUCACACUCUUUAAUAAAUGUCUGUUUUUUUGUUUAAGAAAAGUUUUCACAUUAUAUAGUGAAUCACACAAAAUUUUAAAAAAAUUAUGUGGCUGGUGUUUCAGGUUAAAUUUUUAAUACCUUCUUCAAAUACUUAACUCAAUAUACAAGGUGUGCAUCUCUAUAUCUGGAGAGAAUUAGGUAGCCCUGUGAGGGUGGGAUACGCUUCUACACAGCUGUGAAGAAACGCAACAAAACAUUUCUGUGAUUCUAUUUUAAGACUGAAUUACUGUAAUUUUGGUGUACUUAGCUCCCAUACAUCACAGCAGAUAUUUGUGCAUUCCACAAUGUA